rnacentral:rRNA from 1 species
ACGUACACUCCUGCGGGAGGCAGCAGUGGGGAAUAUUGGACAAUGGGCGCAAGCCUGAUCCAGCCAUGCCGCGUGAGUGAUGAAGGCCCUAGGGUUGUAAAGCUCUUUCACCGGUGAAGAUAAUGACGGUAACCGGAGAAGAAGCCCCGGCUAACUUCGUGCCAGCAGCCGCGGUAAUACGAAGGGGGCUAGCGUUGUUCGGAUUUACUGGGCGUAAAGCGCACGUAGGUGGACUAUUAAGUCAGGGGUGAAAUCCCGGGGCUCAACCCCGGAACUGCCUUUGAUACUGGUAGUCUUGAGUUCGAGAGAGGUGAGUGGAAUUCCGAGUGUAGAGGUGAAAUUCGUAGAUAUUCGGAGGAACACCAGUGGCGAAGGCGGCUCACUGGCUCGAUACUGACGCUGAGGUGCGAAAGCGUGGGGAGCAAACAGGAUUAGAUACCCUAGUAGUCCCA